rfam:Schistosoma haematobium scaffold232_1, whole genome shotgun sequence.
AUCCAGCUGACGAGUCCUAAAUAGGACGAAACGCGUGUCCUGAAU